rnacentral:rRNA from 1 species
AACGAACCGAGCGAACGUUGUUCGGAAUCACUGGGCUUAAAGGGCGCGUAGGCGGGUGCUCAAGUCCGGGGUGAAAUCCUCCAGCUCAACUGGAGAACUGCCUCGGAUACUGGGUGUCUCGAGGGUGGCAGGGGUAUGCGGAACUAUCGGUGGGGCGGUGAAAUGCGUUGAUAUCGAUAGGAACUCCGGUGGCGAAGGCGGCAUACUGGUCCACUUCUAACGCUGAGGCGCGAAAGCCAGGGGAGCGAACGGG